GUUGCUUGGCGCUGCCGAAGGAAAUUCGUUUGUUUAAAUUUUUGGAGGGUUCUUGCUAUUGAUGGGCUAAACUGCGAUUUUCCGAUAUCUAUGAUUUCUGUGAAUGCUACUUUUCAGUAUCUGUGAUUUGUCGCAGGGAAGGAACAUCGGUCGUGUAUCCCUCCGCCACUGCGACUUCUGCGACUUACCACCGUACGAAAAAGUUACAUCUGUCAACACAGAAAAUUGCAUCUCAACAAACCUGUCAUUGGAAAGUACCUGAACUACAUUUCAGUCACUCAGCAAAGUGAUAACUCAAAAUAUCAUUGUCAACAGAUCUGAAGAAAUUUCCACUGCGUCUUUAGACCGUUUUCGUCAAACGAGAGACGCAGUUCUGACUCUGAUUACUGGUUGCUGUACGUAUCUAUCCACAUCAAGGCUGUUGAGAGAGACUCGUGAAGAUUCAAGACGGCUCUUAGAGGAUUUGCAGUUUAAAAGUGAAAUAAGUGUGUGAAUGAUUAAACUGUGUUUUGUUGAAGUUGUGCGAUUUUAAAGGAAUAAUAAAAAU